AGGACGAACGCUGGCGGCGUGCUUAACACAUGCAAGUCAAGGGGGCCCAGCAAUGGGCAACCGGCGAACGGGUGCGUAACACGUGAGCAACCUACCGAAAUGUGGGGGAUAGCCGGCCUAACGGCCGAGUAAUACCGCAUACGCUCUCGAUGAGGCAUUUCAUUGAGAGGAAACCUACGGGACAUUUCGAGGGGCUCGCGGCCUAUCAGCUAGUUGGCGAGGUACGGCUCACCAAGGCAACGACGGUAGCUGGUCUGAGAGGAUGGCCAGCCACAUUGGGACUGAGAUACGGCCCAGACUCCUACGGGAGCAGCAGUGGGGAAUCGUUGCGCAAUGGCCUAACGGCUGACGCAGCGACGCCGCGUGUAGGAUGAAGCU
rnacentral:rRNA from 1 species